UAUUCCAGGUUGCGAUUUUCU
rnacentral:siRNA from 1 species